CGGAUGACGGGAGCUUGCUCCUUGAUUCAGCGGCGGACGGGUGAGUAAUGCCUAGGAAUCUGCCUGGUAGUGGGGGACAACGUUUCGAAAGGAACGCUAAUACCGCAUACGUCCUACGGGAGAAAGCAGGGGACCUUCGGGCCUUGCGCUAUCAGAUGAGCCUAGGUCGGAUUAGCUAGUUGGUGAGGUAAUGGCUCACCAAGGCGACGAUCCGUAACUGGUCUGAGAGGAUGAUCAGUCACACUGGAACUGAGACACGGUCCAGACUCCUACGGGAGGCAGCAGUGGGGAAUAUUGGACAAUGGGCGAAAGCCUG
rnacentral:rRNA from 1 species